rnacentral:rRNA from 1 species
UACGGAGGGUGCAAGCGUUAAUCGGAAUUACUGGGCGUAAAGGGCGCGUAGGCGGUCUUUCAAGUGAGAUGUGAAAUCCCCGGGCUCAACCUGGGAACUGCAUUUGUGACUGCAUCGCUGGAGUGCGGCAGAGGGGGAUGGAAUUCCGCGUGUAGCAGUGAAAUGCGUAGAUAUGCGGAGGAACACCGAUGGCGAAGGCAAUCCCCUGGGCCUGCACUGACGCUCAUGCACGAAAGCGUGGGGAGCAAACAGG